rnacentral:rRNA from 1 species
GACGUAGGGCGCGAGCGUUGUCCGGAUUUAUUGGGCGUAAAGAGCUCGUAGGCGGCUUGUCGCGUCGGCUGUGAAAUCCCGUGGCUCAACUGUGGGCGGGCAGCUGAUACGGGCAGGCUGGAGUUCGGUAGGGGAGACUGGAAUUCCUGGUGUAGCGGUGAAAUGCGUAGAUAUCAAGAGGAACACCUGAGGUGAAGACGGGUUGCUGGGCUGAUACUGACGCUGAGGCGCGAAAGCUAGGGUAGCAAACGGG